rnacentral:rRNA from 1 species
AUGUGGCUGCCAGCUAUCACAACAAUCCUCAAUCUCAGAAACUUUCUGGAACAGUUAGCCAUCAAAGAAGACCCCAAACAAAGAUUCACUCUAGAGCAAGGGAUUUUGCGAUUCUGCAGGAGGAUUUGGCUGGGCGGCACUGCAGUGAUGCAGCAAAAGAUUAUCUCUGCUUUGCAUGACAGCCUCAUGGGAGGGCACAGUGGGUUUCCGGCCACCUUCAGGCAGAUCAGGCGUCUUUUUGCGUGGCCCAAGAUGAAAGCACACGUUCUGCAGUAUGUGCGCUGCUGCUCUGUCUGCCAGCAAGCUAAACCCGACAGGUCAGCGUCUCCGAGCUUGUUGGAAUCCCUGCCAAUUCCUCAACAGCCAUGGGACAUGAUCACCAUGGACUUCAUCAACGGUUUGCCUCAGUCGGGAAAAGCCAAUUGCAUCUGGGUAAUCGUGGACAAGCGCACAAAAUUUGCCCACUUCCUACCCCUAGCUCACCCGUACACAGCGGCUAAGGUGGCACUCCUCUGCAUGUCGAGCAUCUACAGGAUCCACGGGUUCCCGCGCUCCAUUGUCUCUGAUCGCGACCCGGUUUUCACAAGCCACUUCUGGCGUGAGUUGUUCAAGUACGCGGGCACAGACCUGCGUAUGAGUUCUGCUAACCACCCCCAGACGGACGACCAAACCGAAAGAGUCAGUCAGUGCCUGGAAACUUAUCUGCGCUGCUUCGUCCACGCAUGCCCCAAUCGCUGGAGUCAUUGGCUUCCCCUCGCACAGUUUUGGUACAACUCCUCGCAUCAUUCAAGCAUCGGCAUGUCGCCAUUCCGAGCUAUGUUCGGUCAUGAACCUCGGAUUUGGGGAAUCUCGCCUACUGAUGGGUGUCAAGUCCCUGCCCUCCAGUCUUGGCUGGAGGAGCGAGCGGUGAUUCAAGACCUCCUACAACAACAUUUGCAUCGGGUGCAGCAGCACAUGAAGACACGGGCAGACAAACGUCGCUCGCCAAGAACCUUCUCGGUGGGGGACCAAAGUUUACCUCAAACUCCAACCCUACGUACAAACGUCAGUGGCCAGGAGGGCAAACCACAAGCUAUCCUUCAAAUAUUAUGGGCCGUUUCAAGUGAUCACCAAGGUCAGCGAAGCAACUUAUAA